rnacentral:rRNA from 1 species
UACGUAGGGUGCGAGCGUUAAUCGGAAUUACUGGGCGUAAAGCGUGCGCAGGCGGUUUUGUAAGCCAGAUGUGAAAUCCCCGGGCUUAACCUGGGAAUGGCAUUUGGGACUGCAAGGCUUGAGUGCGGCAGAGGAGACUGGAAUUCCUGGUGUAGCAGUGAAAUGCGUAGAUAUCAGGAGGAACACCGAUGGCGAAGGCGGCCAACUGGACGAAUACUGGACGCUGAGACUCGAAAGCGUGGGGGAGCAAACAGGA